rnacentral:lncRNA from 1 species
GGGAACAGUUGGUGCAAAAUCCCUCAUAUUGUUAGUUUGUUCUCGUUAUAGGGAAUAUUGUAUGAUACAAAUUAUUUGAUACUCUUAUGGAAGCAUAAAAAUAAAUAGAAAGGUGCAUAUACACCUUUAUGAUCAAUUAAAGAGUGUUCCAUGAAUAGUGACUUAACGUAGCUAUUUGUUGACUUAACAACAUCUAAGGAAAUAUUAAAAAUGCGGAGGGAGGGGUUUUGAGGUUUUCAUUGAAUUUAUUAUGAUUUGCUAUAAGGGAAGAUCCACUAUGGGGGUGAGCUGGGGGACUCGAGUGAGCCCCCUACCCUGCGUAGACAAUGGAACAAUUUUUAUGCAUAGAUGAAAAUAAGGUAAAAAAUGGAAGAAGAUAAAGAAAGAGAAGUCAAAGACAAAAAAAACUGUGGAGAAAGAGGAAGUAGUAGCCUCCUUUUAUAGCGAAUCCAACAUGAUGAUAGCUACUAAAUUGUUCAUCUUGAUACCAUCCAUAUGUAAACAUAAACAACCAUAAUUUGAUAUUAAUUAGCUUAGGAUAAAAUUAAAGGUGUGAUGAUGAUCCAAUCAAUUUGUAUUUACAACACUAAGCUAGGGC